rnacentral:tRNA from 1 species
GUAGCACUUUGAAAGUAGCCAAUUUUCAUACCCUUUAUGCUCCUUCUAGCCAGUGAUUUGGUAAGGGUAAGGUCGAAGGUUCGAUUCCUUUCGGCAGCACCA